rnacentral:lncRNA from 10 species
AAACACCUCAACUGGAUUAGAAGCAAACUGAGGACACUAACUCCUGCCUUUUUAUAAACCACCCUCUCCCAAGCACCUAACAUUCUCCAGGGGAUGCAGGAAGAGCUGAAUAAAGGCCUAAAGGUGAACUGAGUCAAGCUAAGUUCCAGUUUCCAUAACACCCCGAGACCUCAGGAUUGGGCAAAAGAAAGGCAAUGUCACCACCUUGGUGACCUGGCUCACAGCAGGAUUUGCUGGAAAUUAAUCACUCAGGAUCAGGGAAUGAUGCCCAUGAAGCUAAGGUACCAGGAGGGAGUGGCGUUGUGGCGAGUGCCACUGCCUGCCUCUCCCGUGAAAGGAAGACUCGGUGAAGUAAGAGGCACUGGGCAGCCUGCUCGGGUGAACAGACUGAACCUUCUGGAGAACAUCAGAGAUUUCCCAGGCCCCCAUUUUUAACUCUGGGAAGUGAGCUUGGCACCAUCGGGUGUCCAGUUAUUCAAAAGCAGUGCUUCCAUUCCCUCCCUUACCUCACCCUAUGGUCACAUGGCUUCCAGCUCAUCAAUCCCUGGAAGAAAGAUACAUUCCAGAUUUGGGGAUCAACAGAGAAGAGCCCUGCUCUGCUGUGGGACCUCAGCUGUAUCUACCUCACAAGUUGCCAUCAACAAAGACCCCUUCUGGAGGCACAUCAGAGGGGAAAAGGGUGGGCAGGGGUGCUUGUUCUUGGUGAAAUCAGCAUUUCCAGUUAUCGUUUAAAAAUGCCUUCAGAAAAGACAAUCCGUCCAAGGGAAAUAGUCUCAGGGAUAUUCAUUUCUGGAAAUUUAUCCCCCAUUCCCUCCCUUGCAAAGUCCUGCGGGCUGCUAUUUCCAAAAUGGUGUGGACCUGGAUAGAUUUUGGCUAAGGGCUGGCUUGAAUGCUCUAUGCUGAAGGGAUCCAGCUGUCUUCCUCUGGGCCUCCAUAUCCUGCUUAUUGCAGUAGAAACGAGAUCAUUGUCCCUAAGACAAAACAAUAGUAACUAGCAUUCAUAUUGCAUCUUAUAUUUUUAAAAACACUUUCAUUUCCUUUGCUUCACUUCUGAAUCAGGUACUAUUUGGUCCUCAUUUUACAGAGGAGGAAACCCAGGCUCACAGAGUUGAUUGAUCUCAGAGCAUCAUCUGGAAAGUAUUGAAGUAUUGCUAUCCAGCCCCUGAAGAACAUACACAUGAUGUAAUUGCACAAAUUCAUUGUAAAAUAAUAGUAAUAAUAAAGGUAAAAUUAAGCACUCGCCACCAGUGGUGCAAAUCCCAUAACUGCUAUUUUCUCUGUUUCAGUGGUCAUUUCCUUGUGAGGCUGUGUAGUUAUUCAUGUAACCAAUCCUCUGUUGUCGGCUAUCGAGCUUGUUUUCACCUUUCCAAUUCAGGCUUUCUGGGGUAGAUCCUCAGUCCUUUCCAAUGUACUAGGUGGCUCUGCCCUACGGGAAGGGACGGUUUACAAGUCAGAUUGACUUAGAAAUCCUUUGCAACUAAGUGGAAAAUCAUAAUUAAAAUGACCACCUGCCUGACACGUUUACUGCACUGUCGCAUCCCCAAAAGCACAAGAGAAAAUGGAUGGGAUGAUACAGUGAUGACUCUGAAGACAUGGCUGCCCACAUUCCCACGGCCUUUUCAUUUUCCUGCAGCCAGCGCUGCCCUGCCAGGGCACAGGUAGGCCGGGGGUUCCCAGUGGCGUGCUGGGAACACUUAAUGACAGAGUAUCUACAGGGAGGGGAGUCUUGAUUUUAGUGCUUGCCAGUUUCCAUGGUGUCAAUACUCCCACCAUGUCAAGCUCCCAGUGUGCGUCACUGGAUGCAGGUUGCUGGGUGUAACGGGAUCGCGUGAGCUAACAGGAGCUGGAAGUACCCAUGGGUUGGAAUGACACCUUAUGCACCGAGAGCUCCCCAGCCCAGCUAAGUUCCAGUUCCCACACCGAUGAACUGCUUGGUAACAUUUCACUUCCUUCCCGCACCUGUCUUACGUCCUGUCUUGCUUGUACCCCUGCUGGAGUUGCCUGGGAUCAGCUUCAACAUAAACUCUACACUCAGAGCUUGCAUCUGGGGGAGACUCAACCUAAAGUGCCCUAUAAUACAAACUUCACAGCAAUGGCAAUUUUGAACUUCAAACCACAAUAAGAAGGCAGGAGUUCAAGGCACGUGUGGGAGUUAUUUCCCACAAACAUUCAGCAUCAAGAAAACUCCACUAGAGUAGGCUGCUGCAAGGAGGCGCCUGUGACAUUUGGGAUUGGCUGCAGGCUGAGCAAAGAAGCCAAUACAUCUCAGCUGAAGCAGAGAGGAGCACUUCCCAUGGUUUAGAACCCAGGGAAGAAGAAAGGAUUUCCCAGCCCUGUCCCUUGCUCUGCAUCUGCCCGGUUCAAGCCUCCACUGCCUCUCACUUGGACCAGCAGCAACGCCCCAG